AAGAGAGGCCCGAUGGCAACGUAAACUGCUAACUUAACGCCCCCUUAGUUAGACCCUGAGGCUCUCUUG
rnacentral:tRNA from 1 species